rnacentral:rRNA from 1 species
CAGCCGCCACGGGAAUAUGAAGGGGGCUAGCGUUGUUCGGAUUUACUGGGCGUAAAGGGCGCGUAGGCGGACUGAUAAGUCAGGGGUGAAAUCCCAAGGCUCAACCUUGGAACUGCCUUUGAUACUGUUUGUCUUGAGUUCGAGAGAGGUAAGUGGAACUGCGAGUGUAGAGGUGAAAUUCGUAGAUAUUCGCAAGAACACCAGUGGCGAAGGCGGCUUACUGGCUCGAAACUGACGCUGAGGCGCGAAAGCGUGGGGAGCAAACAGGAUUAGAUACCCCCGUAGUCCCUGUCUCUUAUCA